GCGUCAUAGUCCACAUCCUCCAAUCAGUCUGUCUAAAUCCAGGAAGUGUUGUAAAGGGUGCUAAAAACUUCGCAGAUAAUGGGCAAAUAUGCCUGACCAGAACAGCUGUCAUAGAGAUUUUUAACCAUAUUCACUGUCGUCAUUACACAAGCUACAUCCAAUUGCGUAUCCAUCAGCACUUCAUUUGUCGGCGGGUUUGAUCCUUUGACUGGACAGGAUCAUCUGAAGCGAGGAGUCGUCCUGGGCGUGUUUGCUCUAAGAUCUGUGUACUUUAUGUGCAUGGCCCUUGGUGUGGGAGCACCAUGAGUGGGGAGCCUGAUGCCUUGGCUGUGGUGAAUCAGCUGAGGGACUUAGCUGCUGACCCCCUCAACAGACGAGCUAUUGUUGAAGAUCAGGGCUGCUUGUCAGGCCUCAUUCUCUUCUUCGACCACCCCAAUCCACAAGUCGUCUACUCUGCGCUAUUGAUAUCAAGGGAUGCAUAUCUACCAAUCAGAUCUAGCAAAGCCCAUUCAGACUUGUCACAUGACUGCCACCUGCUAUACUUGUAUUUGUAUCAACCAAUCAGAUCACUCAUUGCCCACCCAGCUGUCCUUAGACACAUCACAUGACUGCCAC